rnacentral:piRNA from 1 species
UGACAGAUGGAGCGUGUGCAUCGAAGUA